GUGGGGAAUAUUGGACAAUGGGCGCAAGCCUGAUCCAGCAAUGCCGCGUGUGUGAAGAAGGCCUGCGGGUUGUAAAGCACUUUGAGUGGGAAAGAAGGCCUGGGGGCUAAUACCCCUUGGGAUUGACGUUACCCACAGAACAAGCACCGGCUAACUCCGUGCCAGCAGCCGCGGUAAUACGGAGGGUGCGAGCGUUAAUCGGAAUUACUGGGCGUAAAGCGCGCGUAGGCGGUUUGAUAAGUCUGAUGUGAAAGCCCUGGGCUUAACCUGGGAACUGCAUUGGAAACUGUCCGACUGGAGUGUGGUAGAGGGGUGUGGAAUUUCCGGUGUAGCAGUGAAAUGCGUAGAGAUCGGAAGGAACACCAGUGGCGAAGGCGGCACCCUGGACCAACACUGACGCUGAGGUGCGAAAGCGUGGGGAGCAAACAGGAUUAGAAACCCCAGUAGUCC
rnacentral:rRNA from 1 species